rnacentral:lncRNA from 1 species
CGGAUUGUGCUGAUGUUUAUAGCUUUGGGCUAAUAUCACAUAUGGAUAUGAUUAUAUGUGAUAAAUGAGGACAUCAAAAUGUAACAGAUGUUGUCCUUCCAACCAGACAUUUCUAUAAAACGUACGGUUCAGCUCCUACCACUGCUUUUCGUCAGAUAUUCCUACCAGAAGCAAAAUGAGAGGGUUGUGCCUUACCGAAACAGUUCUUUUGCUGCUCGCUUGCUUAGCCAGAAUGACGGCUGCUGGUCCUAAUGAAAGUCCGACAGGAAAGAUCGACCCUGACUGCCUGAAACCAGCCGUGACCUUGCCGAAACCAUGCCUCAGUAAAAGAGACAUCUGGACCUAUGAUAACACGGAAGAGAAAUGCGUUAAAAAGAAUGGUUGUUUUGGUAACACGGCGCAAAAAAAUAAUAUAUUUGGAUCAAGAACUGGCUGUCAUCAUUGGUGUCACAUGAUAUAUGAAUGAAAUUUUAUCAUUUAUUUUAAUAAAAUGUCUAUUUUAAAAAAUCUCA